AUUUCAACUGGUGUAGUUUCUAAUUCUAUACAAGGUAUCUAUCUGUCUAAAUCUAAAUUAUGUGUCUUUACAUGUGAAAUAGAUAUACAUCUGUUUUAUUUUUGUUUAGUUUUAUUUUUGUGUGAAACACUAUGUGCUGCCAUUUUUGACAGGUCUCCCUGGAAGAAGAGACUGUGAUGUCUCAGUGGGAUUCUCCUGGCUAAAUUAAGGAUAAAUAAAUAAAUGAAGGUAAGGUGAAAUAAGCAUUCUGUAUACCAAAACCACCUACUGUAAUUAAAGUAUAUGGGCAUUCCCCUCUCUAUCUUUACACUUUUUUUCUCUCUCUGUGCUGCAGCCAAGAUUAAAGAUGGAGAAAGGCCCAAGAGUCUUCUCUGGUUUCACUGCUACCACGUGCCUGUUGUCUAUCAAGGGCUGUGCUGCUUGCUCUCUCUCUCUCUCUCUCUCUCUGUCUGUCUGUCUCUCUCUCUCUCUUGCUCUCUCUCUCGGGUUUGUCUUGGGUUAAAUAAAUAAGAGCGCACGAGGAACACUGGCUCCAGUUCCUCUCAUGCUGGGCUGCUCCAGAACACACUGAUCUUGGGGCUGACAAGAUGCAUGUGCAUUGCUGUAAGCAUGGGGAAAGGCCUCUGUCUGAUUAGCAUUCAGUCCUUGCACAGACUGCAUCAAGGAACUCCAUGGCCAGCCCCCCUCCUCUCUCCUUCACGUUCUCACUCUCUCCCCCCUCUUUCUGCAUCAUUCUGCUGGACCAGAACCCCUCAGUACAAAACAAAAGAAACAUCUUGUGUGAUAAAGAUUUCGGCAACAGAUGUAUUAUUGUAUAAGGCCAUUGGAAAGCAGCUAAAUAAAGACAGUUUAAGUCUGACUGAUGAGCCCAUGUGAUGAACGUAACCUCCCAAGUCAGUCCAGACGUGGACCAGGUAAGUCCGAAUCUGUUUCAUACAUCAUCAACACCUUUCCUCCAAUCUGAGUCACAGUCACUCAGCCAGGCAAUCGCUCAAAUAGAUGAGCCUGACCUUUCUGAAAGGGGCUCCAACUGAGACACCAAAGGCAGAAGUGAUACAAGACUUGAGAGUUUACUAAAUGUCAGAUAUCUCAUUAGUAGAAUUUACCAGACUUGAGCAGGUUAAAUCCCAGUAAGUGAUGUCUAUAAUUACCAAGACUGAUGAUUAAAUCACUGGUGAAUGUGAACAAACAUCGGAAACC
ensembl:lncRNA